rnacentral:rRNA from 1 species
UACGUAGGGUGCGAGCGUUGUCCGGAAUUACUGGGCGUAAAGAGCUCGUAGGUGGUUUGUCGCGUUGUCCGUGAAAACUCACAACUCAAUUGUGGGCGUGCGGGCGAUACGGGCAGACUGGAGUACUGCAGGGGAGACUGGAAUUCCUGGUGUAGCGGUGGAAUGCGCAGAUAUCAGGAGGAACACCGGUGGCGAAGGCGGGUCUCGUGGGCAGUGAACUGACGCUGGAGGAGCGAAAGCGUGGGGAGCGAACAGG